AACUAGAGAGGAACUGAGGCCUUCAGUGCAACAGCCCAGGAGGAACUGACACUUGCCAACAAUCAAGUGCAUGAACUUGGAAGCGGAUUCUUCCCCAGAAGAUGACUGCACCUCCUGCUGACAUGCUGAUAGCAGCCGUGUGAAAGCCCAGAACCAGAGGUCCCAGCUAAGCCACAUCCGGAUUCCUGACCCACAGAAACUGUGAGAUAGUAAAUCGCAAAGCUUCCCAGCAGGAGAACCAAGACACACUGGUAUGCGGAAUAUGGAUUACCGACGAGCCCAGGAGAUUGGUCCUUCAACCCCUGGGGCUGCCAGGAGCAGGAGCUGUACGUGGUCCAUCACUAGAGCAUCUCCAGCCAGUCCAGUCAUCUCCCAGCAUUAUUCUGUCCAAUCAGCUGGAAGAGGAUCUCAAUCUAAUGCUGUAUGGUCCAGCUGACUAUCAGAGCAUCCAGCAUUGCAUCAGCAACAAGGGUUAGGGGUAAAAAAGAAAGCAUCUCUCUUCCCAAGGCCCCGCCAACACCACUGCUGAGUUAAAAGGCUGAGCGGGUGCCUGGGGACGAGUGCCAAACCCCGAUGGUCACACCAAGCAGAAAGGAAUUGGCCACCAGCAGAGCCACCCACCUUUGGAUGGAGCAUGCUAUCUUGAUGAGGAGAAUCGAGAGAGCCUACUACAAUGAACUGUAGAGCAGAAGCCCUUCUCCAAUUUCCUGGGGGUUCUUUUGCAAUCUCAAGAGAAGGGACGGGGUUGGAAAAUUACUGAGAUUGGAUUCUCUCAAUUUUAAGAGAAUAACGGAAGAGCCAGAUUUAAUUCUAACUAAAAUAAUAUAACAUUUCCGGCACUAUGGAGCAAUUCAUUUCUGUUAUGUUUGUAAUUUUUUAAACAUGCAAGUAAAAAACAGAGAAAUGGAAUGAAAAUAAAAGUCACACAUACUCCACUGCUCAGAGGUCACACUUUAAUAUUUUGGUGACUGCUGUUCCUAAAAGCACACGCACACAACCAUACAUAUAUUCAUAUAUGUGGGAUCAUACUUACAUACUUUUGUACAAACUGGGCUUUUUUCUUGUUUUCACACAGAAUAACAUGGAUGUUUCCACAUCAAUAAAUACAUUUCUGCAAUGUAAUUUUAAUAGCUAUAUAGUAUUCCAUUAUACAGGAUCUAUAUGUUCUAUAUUAUAAAUAAUGUGCACAUCCAAAGCAUUAGUAUGGGAUCCUUAGGCUUUUUCAAUGUUUUUGCUGUUGUAAUUAACAG
rnacentral:lncRNA from 1 species